GGAACCUGGUUGAUCCUGCCAGUAGUCAUAUGCUUGUCUUAAAGACUAAGCCAUGCAUGUCUAAGUAUAAGUAUUAUACAGCGAAACUGCGAAUGGCUCAUUAAAACAGUUAUAGUUUAUUCGAUUAUUUGCCCCUACAUGGAUAACCGUAGCAAUUCUAGAGCUAAUACAUGCUGUCAAACCUGACUUCGCGG
rnacentral:rRNA from 1 species